GGGGGGGGAGGGCAGGCAUGGGUGACCCCCCUCCCUUCCCCCCCUCUCUUUCAGCCUCUCACCUGGAUCCCCAGGGGCUCCCCCUUCCACACGGCCAAAGUCGAAGUGGCCUUCGCUGCCCCUGGGUUGGAAACCCGUCUCCAUCGUCGGUGGCUGCCAAAGGGGACCGGCGGAGGUGCGUGCCCAGCGCAGCAGCUGCUCCCCCCCCUCUGGGAGAGGCUGCCCAUAGUCCAGCCAUUGUGGGCACACGGUAGACGCCGCCGUGCCGUCUUCCUCCCUCGCCCUGCCCCAAGUGGCACCAAGAGACUGGCAUCCAAGGCUGGCCGUGCCCAAGAGGACCAAAGCCGCUUGACCUCAGCUUGGCUCAACUUCAGGGUAGAGAAGGACCCUUGGAAGCCAGCUGACCUGGCCCGAAGGACCCUCCAGAAUCUCCCGGGCAGUGCCAGCGUGGUCCCUGGGCAUGGGCGUGCCACCAAACGAGGCGCACGACCACCUCUGCCCAGCGCAACCACAGAUGCCGGUGCAGCACGCAAGGCCGGGUGCCGAUGCCCAGACAGCCAGCGGGCUACCGUGGUGGGCCAGCAAGCGGAGGCUCGUCCGGAGGGUCUCCGUGUGCCCACCCCCCGCACAGAGGAAGCGGCCUGGGCCGCCAGCGCUCUGAUUUUCUUGCUGGUGCUCCUGACCCUGGCUAUACUCUACACCCGUCUGCACCGGAAAUGCCGCCGCGGGCCAAGCCUCUACUGGAUGACCAACAGCGAGGAAGGGCGCGAGACGGUGGCCACUGUCAUGAAGCACCGUCUCUUCUCGCGCACCAGGCGCACCAGGCGCCCACGGCCGCCGCUUCAGCCGCCACAGCAGCCGCCACAGCUGCUCCUGCCCAGCUCCUCCAGCGAGGACGAUGACAGCGCCGCCUGAAGGCCUCGCCUGGCCCAGCCUGUCCGGAGGGGCCACCAGCCCAAAGCCCACCGCCCAAGGAGGGAGGGAGGGAGGGAGGGAGGGAGGGAGGGGCUCCAGCCAUGACCGCUGCGUUCGUUUUUCAUACUCAAU
rnacentral:lncRNA from 1 species